ensembl:snoRNA SNORA72 Small nucleolar RNA SNORA72
AGGUGGCACUGUCAUUAUCAGGACAGGCUGAAUAUUCACUAUAGAAAGACUAUGCAUGUGUCCCCAGACCUAUUUCUUUCUCCAGGUCUGAUUUUAUAAAUGCCUGUGAUAAAC